rnacentral:rRNA from 1 species
CGUGUAGGCGGUUAGGUAAGUGAGAUGUGAAAUCCCUCGGCUCACCCGAGGACCUGCAUCUCAUACUGCCCGACUCGAGUAUGGGAGAGGAUGAGGGAAUUCCUGGUGUAGCGGUGAAAUGCGUAGAUAUCAGGAGGAACACCGGUGGCGAAAGCGCUCAUCUGGCCCAAUACUGACGCUGAGGCGCGAAAGCUAGGGGAGCAAACG